rnacentral:misc_RNA from 1 species
GUUACUAAUAGGACUAGUUGAUAAGCUAUAAAUCCUUAUAUCUAAGUAUUUUAUAAGAGAGAAUAUUAUGAUGAUUAUAUUAUUGUUGACAAUUAAUAAAAUGUGUUUUUCUGCCUUUUUAGAAUUUGUUUCUCACCCUCUUGUUCCCCUUUGUUCUCUUGGUUCUGCAUCAAUUUGGUAUCAAAGCCUCUUUGAUUUGUCUAUGAGCUAUCAAACUUAUCUGUUUCUUGCAAAAAUCCCCUUUCCUUCGUUUACUGUUCUUUUUGUUAAAAAAAUUACCUUUGCCAAAAAGAACCAACAAACAAAGGUCUCACCCCUAUGUAACUAAAAGGCCCAUCACUUUUAGUCACCAAGGAGCCAUGCCACCAUCACCUAUCGACAGGCGACCAUUAUGGCCGCUUAAGGUGGUCAGAAGUCGAGUUUAGACCAAGAUGGUUUUUCACUCAAAUUUCAACCUGCCAGAAUCCCAAUAGAUUUCGAUGUCUGGACCUCCCUAGAGCUUAGUUAGUUGCCGAUCUUCAUCUUUCUUUUGUCGGACAGGAAGUCAAAUCCGGUGGAUUGGAUCCCAACCCGAAUUGAGACCUGGCCAGAAAAUGACCGUUUUCCGACAUCUGACCUUCCUCCGUGAAUCACCGUCCAUUGUUGGGACUCCUAGCUGAUGCUCCUCUGGCGAGCUUCAUUCCACUUGGGUCAAGGAUCUGCCAAAACCAGUUGAGCUCACCUAGCAAUAGUGAGCAGCGUUGUAUCGGAUUCUGUGCCCUGUUCUCACCAUGUCAGCUACUGUCACUGGCCACAUCUUGAUUAUAGAACUAAGAAGUUUAGAUUUCUAUUAUUUAGAAAUCCUAUUAUUAUUUAGGAAUAUUUAUGGAGUUCUAUUCGGUUUAGUAUUUUGUUAUUUAGGAAUUUUAUUUUGAUUUGGGAUUUGUAAUUAGUAUUUGAUUAUGAUUUUCUUGUUUAAGGAUUCCAAAUCUCUGUAGUAGUAGUAGUAGUAGUAGUAUGUCUUCUAGGUGAUUUGUUAGGACAGACUAUUGUUGACAAUUAAUAAAGAUUGAGAAUUUGUUUCUCCAGAGAAUGUGUUUCUCUACCCUUUGAGAACGUGUUUCUCACCCCCUAAUCCCAAAUUAUCGAUAUCCCAACAAAGGAUUGGAACUGGAUCCUUGAUUAAAAAAUGUUCCUCAAUUUUAUCGUUUCAUCAGAACAGGCAUAAACCUUUGAAAGAACUUUCAUUGAGAAUAAACGCAAAGAACUAUCCUUGUUUCAAAUCUUAAGAGAAAAUUUAAAAGCAACAAGAAAAUAUAAUAAUGGUGUACUUUUAGUGUAGCAAACAAGAAUAAUUGCAGCAAGAUGAAAUCAACCCAAAAUUUUAACAAUUACACAAAGUCUUCCUCCUGCCUCCUGCCUAGUGCAUUUUUAAUGAUAUUUAGAAACCUGAUAUGAACCUACCUAACUCCACCUCAAAAGCUAGC